rnacentral:rRNA from 1 species
CCUACGGGUGGCAGCAGUGGGGAAUAUUGGGCAAUGGGCGCAAGCCUGACCCAGCAACGCCGCGUGAGGGAAGAAGGCUUUCGGGUUGUAAACUUCUUUUCUCAGGGACGAAGAAGGUGACGGUACCUGAAGAAUACGCCACGGCUAACUUCGUGCCAGCAGCCGCGGUAAUACGUAGGUGGCAAGCGUUAUCCGGAUUUGCGGGGUGUAAGGGGGGUGUAGGCGGGACUUCAAGUCAGAUGUGAAAACCACGGGCUCAACCUGUGGACUGCAUUUGAUACUGUAGUGCUGGAGUGCUGGAGAGGUAGGCGGAAUUCCUAGUGUAGCGGUGAAAGGCGUAGAUAUUAGGAGGAACACCAGUGGCGAAGGCGGUCUGCUGGACAGCAACUGACGCUGAGGCGCGAAAGCGUGGGGAGCAAACAGGAUUAGAUACCCGAGUAGUC